rnacentral:rRNA from 1 species
UACGUAGGGCGCAAGCGUUGUCCGGAAUUAUUGGGCGUAAAGAGCUCGUAGGCGGCCUGUUGCGUCCGCUGUGAAAUCCCGGGGCUCAACCCCGGGCCUGCAGUGGAUACGGGCUGGCUGGAGGCAGGCAGGGGGGGAACGGAAUUCCUGGUGUAGCGGUGAAAUGCGCAGAUAGCAGGAGGAACACCGGUGGCGAAGGCGGUUCUCUGGGCCUGUUCUGACGUGAGGAGCGAAAGCGUGGGGGAGCGAACAGGA